CCAUGCAAGUCUAAGUAUAAGUUAUUCUUAAGACGAAACUGCGAAUGGACUCGGUAAAAACAGCAAUAAUUUCUUCGGUGAUGAGUUUACUCACGGAUAACCGUAGUAAUUCUAGAGCUAAUACGUGCUGAAAAAAGUGGGGGUUCGCUCCACUGUGCCGUUUAGAUAACAACACCAACAUUUGGUGAUUCAUAAUCGUCUUUCUGAUCGCUUCAUGCGACGCACCGUUCAAAUUUCUGACCUAUCAACUUUCGAUGGUAAGGUAGUGUCUUACCAUGGUGGCAACGGGUAACGGACCGUGGGUGCGGGACUCCGGAGAGGGAGCCUGAGAAACGGCUACCACAUCCAAGGAAGGCAGCAGGCGCGCAACUUGCCCAAUCCAGACUCUGGGAGGCAGUGACAAGAAAUAUCAAUAGGGGAUCCUAUGGGUCUUCUAAUUGGAAUGAGAACAAGCUAAACAGCUUAUCGAGAAUCCAGCAGAGGGCAAGUCUGGUGCCAGCAGCCGCGGUAAUUCCAGCU
rnacentral:rRNA from 1 species